GUUAUAUGAUCAAGUAAAGGAAGAGCACAAGGCGGAUGCCUUGGCAGCAUAAGGCGAUGAAGGACGUAAUAACCUGCGAUAAGCCUCGGGGAGCUGGUAAAUAAGCUUCGAUCCGAGGAUUUCCGAAUGGGAAAACCCAAUACACAUAAGUGUAUUAUCUUAUACUGAAUACAUAGGUAUAAGAGGCAAACCUAGGGAACUGAAACAUCUAAGUACCUAGAGGAAAAGAAAUCAACAGAGAUUCCGGUAGUAGCGGCGAGCGAAACCGGACUAGCCCUUAAGCUUUUUCAAGAUUAGCAAAACAGAUUGGAAAGUCUGGCCAUAGUAGGUGAUAGCCCUGUAUGCGAAAAUCUUUUAAGAGUGAAAUCGAGUAGGUCGGGACACGUGAAAUCUUGACUGAACAUGGGGGGACCAUCCUCCAAGGCUAAAUACUCUCAGCUGACCGAUAGUGAACCAGUACCGUGAGGGAAAGGCGAAAAGAACCCCGGCAAGGGGAGUGAAAUAGAACCUGAAACCUUGUGCUUACAAGCAGUCGGAGCAGACUUGUUCUGUGACGGCGUACCUUUUGUAUAAUGGGUCAACGACUUAAUUUCAGUAGCAAGCUUAACCGUUUAGGGGAGGCGUAGGGAAACCGAGUCUUAAUAGGGCGCUCAGUUGCUGGAAUUAGACCCGAAACCGGGUGAUCUAUCCAUGGCCAGGGUGAAGGUUAGGUAACACUGACUGGAGGCCCGAACCCACUUAUGUUGAAAAAUGAGGGGAUGAGCUGUGGAUAGGAGUGAAAGGCUAAUCAAACCCGGAGAUAGCUGGUUCUCCU
rnacentral:rRNA from 1 species